AAAAGACUCACAAGAAAAACUGUUUUGUUCAGAGUAAGAUUAAUAUAAAAAUUUUUGAUGCUAUGAGAUGGUCUCAUCAAUGUGCAACAAUUGAACUGGAUUUCCAACUUCCUGAGAGAUUCAACCUCACGCUAGGAUUUUAUGGCUUUCUCCCCAUCAAGUUGUAGUAAUUCCUGUCAGUAGUAAAUAUGAUGAUUAUGCCGAACCGGUAAAUUUAAUUUGAUUCAAAAGAAGUUCCAUGCAGCUGGUUAUCGUGUUGAUACAGACUUGGAUCACGGAUCAACACUAAAUAAGAAAGUUCGCAAUGCACAACUUUCACAGUACAACUUCAUUCUUGUUGUUGGUGAAAAGAGACGGUCUCAGACACGGUCAACGUCAGAACACGUGACAACAAAGUACUCGGUGAAAAAUCGGUCAUGGCCGUGAUCGAACGCUUGCGAGAUUUAGUCAGCUCACGAAGUCUGACAAGCGAAGAUUUUUGAAGUAAAACAACAUUUUUAUGAAAAAUAGGUACGCGUACAUGCCACUGGUCACUGGCAAACUGGCGGCAUUGGUCACUAAUACUUUAUCAGUGGUGGUAAUAUUGAUUUUAUCGUGGUGGUAAAUUCUUCCAUUGGUAAUUUAUGGCGAUAACCAUCAGCAACUUUUCA